rnacentral:rRNA from 1 species
GACGAACGCUGGCGGCGUGCCUAAUACAUGCAAGUUGAGCGCUGAAGGUUGGUACUUGUACCAACUGGAUGAGCAGCGAACGGGUGAGUAACGCGUGGGGAAUCUGCCUUUGAGCGGGGGACAACAUUUGGAAACGAAUGCUAAUACCGCAUAAAAACUUUAAACACAAGUUUUAAGUUUGGAAGAUGCAAUUGCAUCACUCAAAGAUGAUCCCGCGUUGUAUUAGCUAGUUGGUGAGGUAAAGGCUCACCAAGGCGAUGAUACAUAGCCGACCUGAGAGGGUGAUCGGCCACAUUGGGACUGAGACACGGCCCAAACUCCUACGGGAGGCAGCAGUAGGGAAUCUUCGGCAAUGGACGAAAGUCUGACCGAGCAACGCCGCGUGAGUGAAAGAAAGGUUUUUCG